CCCAGAGGCACACUCAUGAGACAGCCAGUGUGUGCAGAAGGUGGGGUCCUCCCGGGAUGUCUGCUCUGGCUGCUGCCAUCCCAAGGAGGCUGUGGUCCACAUGUAAGGAUGCCACACCCAGCCUGGCUUUUGACCUCAGAGGGAAGACAGCGGCACCUGCUAAACCAGUCAGGCCCGGUGUGGCUCCGUUGCAGAUCUGACCCACUACAGAACUUCAGUCCAGGCUGGGGGCUGCUCCCGGAGCCCGUCUGAGCAGAGGACUAAGGGAACUGAAUGCCCAGACAUCCUUUGGACUGGCGUGGAGGUUCCCAAACUUCAGCACACGAGAGUUCUACUGCGCAGAGCUGGAAGCCUGGAACCGUGUCUGGUGUCCCACGGGUGAUCCCGGCGGGCCUUCAGGGUAACGCCGCUCAGUGUGUGCAGAGCCCUGUGGUGCCUCGGGACCACAGUCCUACAGCCCGGCCUCGGUGACCUGCUCCUCUGACCCCAUAUCACUUCCACUUCACUCCCCUUUCUCCCUCCUCUGGGGCCAUCGAGACUUUUCUCUUGUCCCUCACCUGGCUGGAUUUGUUCGGGGCUGCUGCCCCAGGCUCUAUACCUGCGCCUGGGGCAAGGUUGGUGCCUGCCAAGCAUUUGUUGUUCUUGACAAGUGCUGAGGAUGAAAGUAGCAGACGACAUGAUGUGGUGUAUUCAUUGCCCAAUGAUAGGCGCAGCGUGAAUUCCAGGUGUCGAGUGUCCUUCUACAUGUCUCCUCGGGCACGUGUGGAAGCAGUAGCCCCUUCAGCUUUGCUCUUCAUUGACAAAUUCGCAUUCCACCAUCAUGCGGCUGAAUUUCCCCAGAUCUUCGCUGACACUUGGUUCCCCAAAAGCCCCAUCUUAUCUCUGCUUUGCAAGGCCUCCUGAGCCCCAAAAGCAGAAAAACUCUGCUCCACUCAAGACAGGAGAGAACCAUCUAGGUGACUGCCUGAAUUUCCCUGGAAAAUUUCCCUGGAAACACCAUGAAGCAGUUUGUCAGCCAUCAAGUCCCCAUCAAGUUACCUAAAUUUUCAGUUAUCCAAAAAGCAGUAUCAAAUCACCUUCAAAGGCAUCGUUUUCAAGAGUACAAUCUGAUGAGUUUUGGCAAAUAUCCACGCUUGCCUAAGCAGACUUAUAUCUUCCAAAAUGCAUCAUUUCCAUGGGUUUUGAUCCUAUUCGUUGAAAACACAAAACUGCAAGUCUUCCCAAUCAGUGAGCGAGAACACUGACCCACAUUAGUGAAGACCGGCGUCUGCUGGCUGGAUUUUAACAGAAAACCUUUGCAUAGUUGGUAGAUGGAGUGGAAAGUGAGCCGGUGACUUAGUGAUGCCUGUUCCCCACUUGGAUCCACAUAUCUGUCUGAAGUGUCUUUUUAGUUAUUAAACCGAGGAUCAAGAACCAGGCUUCUGAACUGCUGCCUCACAAAGUGUUAAUCAGGACUUUCAAAAAUAAUGAAGCACAUUUAAUCACAUUGCCACUCACAAAGAAUAUCAUAAUUAAUAUGUGGAUGAGAGCAAAAAGAUUAUGUUGUUAAUAAAUAAGUUAUUUUAAA